rnacentral:rRNA from 1 species
UACGUAGGGGGCAAGCGUUUGUCCGGAAUCAUUGGGCGUAAAGCGCGUGUAGGCGGUCCGGUAAGUCCGCUGUGAAAGUCGGGGGCUCAACCUCGGAUGCCGGUGGAUACUGUCGGGCUUGAGUACGGAAGAGGCGAGUGGAAUUCCUGGUGUAGCGGUGAAAUGCGCAGAUAUCAGGAGGAACACCAAUUGCGAAGGCAGCUCGCUGGGACGUUACUGACGCUGAGACGCGAAAGCGUGGGGAGCAAACAGGAUUAGAACCGUACGGUCAGAUCCAAGCCAGUCUGUCUACCCGUA